CGUAGGGAUACAGGAAGCGUUGCUUAGAAACGGGAGAGGGCGCAGGCGAUGGUCUGACUAGCAGCACUGUGGCCGAAUCCAUCCAAGAUGGAGAAGUACGAGAAGAUCAAAGUUGUCGGGAGAGGAGCAUUCGGAAUCGUGCACCUUUGCCGUCGGCGAACUGAUGGUGCUUUGGUGAUUCUGAAGGAAAUCCCAGUGGAGCAGAUGACCAGGGAUGAGCGUCUUGCCGCACAAAAUGAAUGCCAAGUUCUCAAGUUACUCAACCAUCCGAACAUAAUCGAGUAUUAUGAAAAUUUCCUGGAGGACAAGGCACUCAUGAUCGCAAUGGAAUAUGCACCAGGUGGAACUCUUGCUGAUUACAUUCAGAAGCGAUGCAAUUCCCUGCUGGAUGAAGACACCAUACUGCAUUUCUUUGUGCAGAUAUUACUGGCCCUCUACCAUGUGCACAACAAACUUAUUCUUCAUCGCGAUCUUAAAACCCAGAACAUUCUUCUGGACAAGCACCAGAUGAUAGUGAAAAUCGGUGACUUUGGGAUCUCCAAAAUACUAGUUAGCAAGAGUAAGGCGUACACUGUGGUUGGGACCCCAUGUUACAUCUCUCCUGAACUGUGUGAAGGAAAACCAUACAACCAGAAGAGUGAUAUCUGGGCUCUGGGUUGUGUCCUUUAUGAACUUGCCAGCCUCAAAAGAGCCUUUGAGGCAGCUAAUUUACCAGCCUUAGUCCUGAAAAUCAUGAGCGGCACUUUCGCCCCGAUUUCGGACCGCUACAGCCCCGAACUGCGACAGCUCAUCCUCAACAUGCUUAACCUGGACCCAUCCAAACGUCCACAGCUCAACGAGAUCAUGGCCAAUCCCAUCUGCAUCCGGCCCCUGCUGAACCUCUACACCGACAUCGGCAAUGUCCGAAUGCGCAGAAUUGAAAAGCCGCUGGUCACCAUGCAGGCAGGCGCUCACAGCAGACCGGGCAGCCGUGUAACUGGGACCAGAACAAGGGGUGGGUUGUCAAGCUUAAUUUCGACCAAGAUGAUGCACUCCCUGCCCUUGUCAUCGGUGUAUACGUGGGGCAGUGGCAUCUCCACCCCGCUCCGGCUGCCCAUGCUCAACACAGAGGUGGUGCAGGUUUCACUGGGUCGUACACAAAAGAUGGGUGUCACCAAAUCAGGACGUCUCAUAACUUGGGAGGCCCCUACUGUGGGCUGCGGUGAGGCUUCUCUACCUGGUGCUCUGGAGCAGAUGCAGCCCCAGUUUAUCUCCCGCUUCCUAGAGGGGCAGUCUGGGGUCACCAUCAAAUCUGUCUCCUGUGGAGACCUCUUUACAACCUGCAUGACAGACAGAGGCAUAAUUAUGACAUUUGGAAGUGGAAGCAACGGGUGUCUUGGACACGGAAAUUACAAUGACAUAACACAGCCCAAAAUAGUGGAGGCUCUCCUGGGCUAUGAGCUGGUUCAGGUGUCCUGUGGCGCCUCCCAUGUGCUGGCUGUGACCAAUGAGAGAGAGGUCUUCUCCUGGGGAAGAGGAGAUAAUGGUCGACUGGGACUAGGCACCCAGGAUACCCACAAUGCCCCACAACAGGUUAAUAUCCCAGUGGAUUUCGAAGCCCAGCGAGUGUUGUGUGGGGUUGACUGCUCCAUGAUCAUGAGCGCUCAACACCAGAUCCUAGCAUGUGGCAGCAACAGGUUUAACAAGCUAGGCCUGGAUACCAUCAGCAACACAGAGGAGCCCCCCUCCUGCUGUCAGGUAGAAGAGGUCCACAUGUUCCAGCCUGUUCAGUCGUCCCCGCUAAACGUUGAGAAGAUUCUGUACAUCGACAUCGGAACGGCCCACUCUGCCUCGGUGACCGAGAAAGGUCAGUGUUUCACGUUUGGCAGUAACCAGCAUGGACAGCUUGGCUGCAGCUCUCGCCGCAACAGCAGAGUGCCCUUCCGGGUGCCAGGGCUGCAGGGCAUCACCAUGGUAGCGUGCGGAGAUGCCUUCACUCUGGCUGUUGGUUCAGAAGGUGAGGUAUAUACCUGGGGAAAAGGAGCCCGUGGGCGCCUUGGAAGGAAAGAAGAGGAUUCUGGGAUACCGAAGGCAGUGCAGCUUGAUGAGAGUCACCCAUUCACGGUUACAUCAGUGGCUUGUUGCCAUGGCAACACACUCUUGGCUGUGAAACGUAAUGUAGCAUAAUAUGUCUUUUGACAUUCCAUUAGAAAACUCUGGAAUCAUCCAGGCCUACGAGUAACACCAGCCUUACAGUACAGGAUUUUGGGAUCAUUUAUUCAGCAGAAUAAAAUAAUAGAAUUAUAUCAUAGCAAAGCCUAUAUAUAUAUAUAUAUAUCUUCUCAUAUGUUAAGGCAUAUGUUUUGCAAAUAUUCAAGUAUUCAUUUUUCUAUAUUGUCUUUUUAUGACCUCACCACAACUAUGUUUAUCGUUCUUGUUCUUCAACAGACAUUCAUAAUAUAAUGGCAUAUAAUGGCACCAGAACUACCAGGAGUCACUCUACACAUUAUUUUUUACACGUUACUUUUGGCAACACAGUUGGAUUUAUAUUACUGAGAACCUUCUGGAUCUCAAACCUCUGAGCAGUGAGGCACUAGCAGAUUUUGCUUGUUUUGUUGAGUUUAAAGCUUUGCAUCAGGGCCUCAGAUUGUUAAUGAUGACUGAUCUUGGGUUUUUUGGUCUGUUGUGCGCAGUUGAUAAUAAUAGCAGCGUAACACAAGUCUCACUUUGUUUAGGUCCCUUUAAGCUUCAAUAGCCAAGGGCUUCUUACUCAAUGCACCCAAUUGACUUUAGAUGUGCUUUGUUCCCAGGAAUACAAUGAAAACAGGACUAUCAUGUUUGGUGACUGUCCUGCUGGAGUCAGGGGCUUCUUUUCACACAUUCUACAAUGUCUAAAAUCUUUUUUUGAAGACCCUGGCCCUAAGUGACCCUUAAACCUUAACAGUAUCUGCAAGAGAACAGACAGACAACAAACAUUCAGAGCAAUUAUCGACUAUGACGUUUAAAGACUCGACAGGAAGUGAACUGCCAAAGAAUUUCAAGGCAUUACGACAAUUAAUGGAAAGUGCAAUAACAUCUGAGGUACCAGUGUAUGGAUUAUGAAGGAUUACGGUUUUACAUUUCCAAAUCAUAACAUAUAGUGUAGUUUAUGCUUGAAGGCAAUAUCUUUUGUGAAUACUGUUGUGAAUGCUUCAGCUGUGGGAUUGUCGGUCCGCUGCUAUACAAUCACAAAGAAAUUAUGUAACACACUCACAGGAAGUCGGACCGGUCCUGUAGGAUUAUUAUACAACAAUAUGUGACAGAACUGACAUGUAACACAGCUGAGUGCCAAAGAAAAUGUGUUACUGUCUUUCUUCUUUCUAUAAAUUGCAUCAUGCUGUCUAUGAUUUAUAAUUUUUUAACCUUUUGUAAACCAAACAACGUCUGAGGAACAGAAAUUUUAAAAUAAAUGCUUUUGUAACAUUUACAAUGA